rnacentral:rRNA from 1 species
UACGAGGGGUGCAAGCGUUGCUCGGAAUUAUUGGGCGUAAAGGGUAGGUAGGUGGUCUUAUUUGUCAGGGGUGAAAGCCUUGGGCUUAACUCAAGAAGUGCCCCUGAAACGGUGAGACUGGAGUCCUGGAGAGGGUCGUGGAAUUCCCGGUGUAGCGGUGAAAUGCGUAGAGAUCGGGAGGAACACCAGCGGCGAAGGCGGCGACCUGGACAGGUACUGACACUCAACUACGAAAGCGUGGGGAGCAAACAGG